GCAAAGUGUGUGGCUCCUACUUUGGUCCGUACAGCCUAGAUGGGCCUAAGCUUCACCAAACACUACCAUAAGAUCACGCAAGUGAAGGGUAGCAAGCAAAUCCAAUCCAAUAUAACAAACACACCUUCUACUGAAAAAGAGAGAUAUGGCCGAAACACCAAAACGUACGUACACAAAAAGAGAGACAGGAGUUGCAGCCCUCUCUGUAACCAAGCACAAAGCCAUCUUUUCGGGUUGCCCUUUCUCUCUCUCUCUGCUUUCUGCUCUCUCUCCCAUACACACACAAACACAAACACAAAGCCAAAGAGAUAUAUUUGUCUUUCUUUGGUGGGUUUAAGACUUUUUAAGUGUACAACUCACAGAAGUUGUGCAGCUAGAUAAUAUGUACAACUUAUGAACAGUCCCUUUCACCGGGGCCUAUUUUUGUUUUGUUCAUGUGGGGUUAUGCUUAUGGCUUUUGCUUUUCGUUGGGAGAGGAGGAACUGCCUGGUCUGGUUUGGAGGCAAAGAGAUCACUGCAAGUGUUGUAGAAAAGUUUUUGGUCCAAGUGGUUUGCCUUUCUAACUUGGGCUAAACUGGAGCAAGGGGCCUGGUAACACUCUCCCUCUUAUAUUGCAGACACAGGUUUAUUUCUCAUAAACUGCACACACACACACACAUAUAUAUAUUGGUAGUUAAAUAAUUGUAUAUGAAUGACGUUUUGCAUGUGUAACUUCUGUGCUGUUUUGAUAUCAACGCUGAUCCCAUCAACAUAUAGCCAAAAAAUUAGGAAAACAAACAUUUUAUAAUCAAUCUCCCCAACAUCUUGCUGCAACUUUUGAGGAUAGAGUUCUGAGAAUGAUCACGAUCCUGCAAUGAUGUUCUGUUUAUUUGUACAAUGUUAUAUGUGCCUACUUGUUUUAUCUUUGUGUUUACCUCAGCAACAAGGACCUUUAUGCUUAAAAAAUAUGAUUAUAUAACAAGAAGACAACAGAAACCACAAAGAAAAAUAACAAAAAAUGGCCACAGAAUCUCAAAACACUUUCCACCUUUUGCAGCUUGCAAGUUAAUUCACCAAGUAUACAUAUCAUCAGGAUUAUGAUGAUGCUAUGUAACCACAGAAUCCAGGUUCCAGGACUAGUUUAGGUUAAGAUUGUAACAUGUGCAUAUGAGAUCGAUUAAAAGGUUUUGCAGGAUACAUAUAGGCGAUAUUAGAUCGAUUAAAAGAUUUUGCUUUUUGACAGUUGAAAUUAGAUCGUCUCAAGAGAAUUGAGCUUAAAUGGUUUCUCUAUCAACUAUUUUUGCGCGUAUAUAUAUUACUGGCUAGAAUAUAUAGGAAACAACAAUUAUCUCAGGCUGAAUGCAAAAACACACAACAAUACAUGCGCAUAUGAUGAUUUUGUGCAAAUUAAUAUGAAUAACAAUAUUCCAUCGUUUUAAACAUUGUUAAACCAGAAACAUUAGCUAGAGAAUAUAGCCGAAAUGCUGCAUCUGUUCUGUAAUAGAGAGCCGAAAUGUGCCCAUCAAGGACUACGUAUGUGAUUCAUAAUAACAAGAACAUCUAUGCAGACUUCUUGACUGAUUGAUGGUGAGGUACAGUUUCUUUCACCUCAUUCUGUAAUUAAUACCAACUAAUUAACAAAUUUUAUAUUGUAGGAGAGGAAUGCAUACGACAGCAGUUUGAACUGCGCAAGAAUAGGUAAGAUCCACAAAAUAAGUAAAGUUAUAUUGUGGAAGCUUGAAACACACAAACAAUGAAAACAUAUCUGUAGCCGUUCAAUGUAACCUAGGCUACUUAAUCAAGACGAUCAAGGAAGUUUUUAGCAUAAACAGAAGAGUACCUAUAGCAGAUAUGUAUUAUUUUAGUUGUUUUCCUUACUAUAUAUAUUCCUUUAUUUAAAAGAAAAAAAAACAAUAUAAAGAUCUAAACCACCAUCUUGAAAUUUGCAGCGUGCAUAGACCAAAAGUUAUAGUAAAAUAGGGGAGCAGACCAAAGGGAAAUGGGAAUUUUGUAUUUUUUCUUCAAAGUAAUUGUAUCCCCUUUGAAAAAACUGGAACAGAUGAAUGAUAUAUAUAUAUAUAGCACACAACUUCUUGUAGAGAUUC